rnacentral:rRNA from 1 species
GAUGAACGCUGGCGGCGUGCCUAAUACAUGCAAGUCGAGCGAACAGACGAGGAGCUUGCUCCUCUGACGUUAGCGGCGGACGGGUGAGUAACACGUGGAUAACCUACCUAUAAGACUGGGAUAACUUCGGGAAACCGGAGCUAAUACCGGAUAAUAUAUUGAACCGCAUGGUUCAAUAGUGAAAGACGGUUUUGCUGUCACUUAUAGAUGGAUCCGCGCGGCAUUAGCUGGUUGGUAAGGUAACGGCUUACCAAGGCUACGAUGCCUAGCCGACCUGAGAGGGGGAUCGCCCACACUGGAGCUGAGACACGGUCCAGACUCCUACGGGAGGCAGCAGUGGGGAAUCUUCCGCAAUGGGCGAAAGCCUGACGAAGCAACGCCGCGUGGGUGAUGAAGGUCUUCGGAUCGUAAAACUCUGUUAUGAGGGAAAAACAAAUGUGUAAGUAACUAUGCACGUCUUGACGGUACCUAAUCAGAAAGCCACGGCUAACUACGU